rnacentral:rRNA from 1 species
GGAUGAACGCUGGCGGCGUGCCUAAUACAUGCAAGUCGAGCGAACAGACGAGGAGCUUGCUCCUCUGACGUUAGCGGCGGACGGGUGAGUAACACGUGGAUAACCUACCUAUAAGACUGGGAUAACUUCGGGAAACCGGAGCUAAUACCGGAUAAUAUAUUGAACCGCAUGGUUCAAUAGUGAAAGACGGUUUUGCUGUCACUUAUAGAUGGAUCCGCGCCGCAUUAGCUAGUUGGUAAGGUAACGGCUUACCAAGGCAACGAUGCGUAGCCGACCUGAGAGGGUGAUCGGCCACACUGGAACUGAGACACGGUCCAGACUCCUACGGGAUGCAGCAGUAGGGAAUCUUCCGCAAUGGGCGAAAGCUUGACGGAGCAACGCCGCGUGAGUGAUGAAGGUCUUCGGAUCGUAAAACUCUGUUAUUAGGGAAGAACAAAUGUGUAAGUAACUAUGCACGUCUUGACGGUACCUAAUCAGAAAGCCACGGCUAACUACGUG